AGUUCAUUAGCCCAGCUGGUCAGAGCAUCAUGCUAAUAAUGCCAAGACUGCAGGUUCAAUCUCAGUAUGAGCUA